UACGUAGGGGGCAAGCGUUGUCCGGAUUUAUUGGGCGUAAAGAGCUCGUAGGCGGUUCCGUAAGUCGAGUGUGAAAAAUCUGGGCUCAACCCAGUGGAGCACUCGAUACUGCGGUGACUGGAGUACGGUAGAGGAGUGUGGAAUUCCUGGUGUAGCGGUGAAAUGCGCAGAUAUCAGGAGGAACACCAACGGCGAAGGCAGCACUCUGGGCCUUACCUGACGCUGAGGAGCGAAAGCGUGGGAGCGAACAGG
rnacentral:rRNA from 1 species